AGGAUGGUGCCGCCGUUACUGGUCUUGUCUUCUUAUUGCUGGAGCAUCCUUAGUGGCAGUUAGUACAACAGGAAAUGCUAUUGAUCACCGAAUUGGUUCCAUCAUAGCUGGUAGUUUACCUGGAAUGGUUGCUUUAUUUCUUAUUCAGAGGAAUUGGAAUGCUCGGAUUGGUAGGGCAAUUGAUGAUCAUGACAUGAAAAGGGCGCUUCGGUUUUUAAAUCUGGUCCAGUGAAGACAAUAGUCACAAUACUACUAUCAAUUUGGAGUACUUCUCUUAUCUUUAGCCUUCUAUGAUUUUACUUUCUAAUUUGCCACAGGUUGUAGAUGCUUUGUACAAUUGCAAGAGUGAACUGAUUGGCGCUGGAUUCAAAGUAGAAAUAGGUCAUUUCUUUGAUCAUAUUCUGAUAAUGCAUCACUAGGAUACAUGUAAACGAGAGGAUUCAUUAUCUGUUUAUAAAAUUAUACUGCUCUCUAGUUGCAAG